UCCAUUCUUGCAUUUAGUAUGGAGUUGUAAAAAUGGUUUUGCUGACUAAGUUGUGUUUGUGAACAACAUCCAUUCACCACUCCAAUUCGAGAGAUUUCCGAACACAACGGCGGCUUCACCACUAUCAGCCACCAUCAAACCAUGGCGACCUGAAACUCGUUUCACAGAAAUACCAGUAAUUUUUCGGCAAUCGCCACUUUAGACUUGAGCAAUCGUCAUAUCCCGUUAGGGUUUGCAGACUCUCCAUUGUGGAGCUUGCUUCAGGUCAAUAAUUUGCAAGUCUUGCUUUGUCCGCGCAAUGAUUAAGCUUUGUUCCCAUAGAAAAAAUAUAUUAUCCAAAUGGGUAUUGUUUGCAAAAAUGCACAGCACAAGUGAGGCGAUUCAGGAGGUUGGAGAAGCGAGCGAGAGAGUGAGCAAGGUUAUGAUGACGUGUCCCACACUGGCACUUGACACUGCUCUUAAUCAAACUGGAGUUAAAGUUCCCCCUGAUUUAGUUGAAGAUGUUCUCAAACGAUUUGAGAAUGCGGGCAUGUCAGCAUUUCAGUUCUUUGAGUGGGCAGAGAAGCAGAGAGGGUACUCGCACAGCAUAAGGGCAUAUCACUUGAUGAUUGAAUCUCUGGCUAAGAUUAGACAGUACCAGAUCGUGUGGGACCUUGUUAAUGCCAUGAGGAAAAAGGGCAUGCUAAAUGUGGAGACUUUUUGCAUCAUGAUGAGAAAGUAUGCUAGGGCUAACAAGGUCGACGAGGCUGUUUACACCUUUAAUGUCAUGGAUAAGUACGAUGUGGUCCCAAAUAUUGCUGCAUUUAAUGGUUUGUUAAGUGCUUUGUGCAAGUCCAACAAUGUGAGGAAGGCUCAGGAGAUUUUUGAUGCUAUGAAGGGUCGAUUUGAACCAGACGCGAAAACUUAUAGCAUUUUGCUGGAGGGGUGGGGAAAAGCUCCCAAUCUUCCCCGGGCAAGGGAGGUUUUUGGAGAGAUGGUUCGUGCUGGGUGUGAUCCUGAUGUUGUUACUUAUGGUAUAAUGGUUGAUGUUCUUUGCAAAGCAGGGAGGGUCGAUGAAGCAGUUGAGGUUGUGAAGGAAAUGGAUGAGAGCAAUUGCAGGCCUACAUCUUUCAUUUAUAGUGUCCUGGUUCAUACUUAUGGAGUGGAGCACCGAAUUGAAGAUGCUAUUGAUACAUUCCAGGAGAUGGAGAGGAAGGGAAUCAAGGCUGAUGUUGUGGUUUAUAAUGCCUUGAUUGGUGCCUUUUGUAAAGUAAAUAAGUUUAAAAAUGUGCACAGGGUCUUGCAGGAGAUGGAGAUCAAUGGCGUUGCGCCGAAUUCAAGGACCUGCAAUGUUAUCAUAAGCAGUAUGAUUUGUCAGGGACAGACUGACAGAGCUUUUAGAGUUUUCCGCCGGAUGAUCAAGUUAUGUGAACCGGAUGCUGACACUUACACAAUGAUGAUAAAAAUGUUUUGUGAGAAAAAUGAUCUGGAAAUGGCUCUGCGAAUAUGGAAGUUUAUGAAGUCAAAACAAUUUGUUCCAAGCAUGCACACCUUUUCUGCCCUUGUCAAGGGGCUGUGUGAAAAAGGUGAUGCCGCAAAAGCUUGUGUUGUGCUUGAAGAGAUGAUAGAGAAGGGAAUUCGACCAUCACGUAUUACGUUUGGGAGGUUGAGACAGUUGCUUUUAAAGGAAGGGAGAGAAGAUGUGCUCAAAUUUCUUCAUGAGAAAAUGAAUCUUCUUGUCAAGGAGCCUUUACAUGAUUAAAAAAGAUAUGCGGAUACUGCCAAGUCCUUCCCAAAUAUAAAAUGCAUUGAUGAUCAAACAUUGUAUGCCAUGUCAUUGCUGAUGAGAUCACAAGACCAUUAUCCACUAGAUUUUCGAAUGUGACAUAAUGAUGUCCUUCAUGUUAUAGGAAAAACUUCCUCUAAAGUUAGAAUAUCUCUAAAUUAGCAUGGGUGUAUUCACCCUUUGAAUUUGAGUUAAGAUUUGAGGCUUCAUGAUUGAUGAAGUUUUAUUGGAAGUGAGCGGGGGUUAAAAGUAUUUGCUUUGGAUUUGUCCAUAGUGAAUUGGAAAAUAUCCUGAUUAUCAUUUAGUGAAGAAAAACCUUGCGCUAGUGGCUGUUCAUGAUCUCUGACAAAUCAGUGAUGUCACUUACCCUGCUGAUUGGUGCUUUCAUUUAUUAUGGCGGAAAAUAUGCUCAUGAAAGACUUGUCUUCGAUGUGAAGCGUUUGACGGACAUGAUGAAAGCUCGUGACAAGGGUUACUCUACUUGUUUCAAAACUAUAAAAUCAACAAUGGAGGAGGAUGCUAAAACGUGCUCUGUAGGUGGACUCUAGCUCUUCAAACACACCCUUUCAAGUUUGCAAUGUUAGACUGGUUUUUUUCUCGUUUUGAUGGAUUUGAUGUUCUCCAAUGGAUAUUUAAGGCCGAGUAAUAUUUUUACUAUUAUCAUCCACUUGAUGCACAACAAUUGACCAUAGUGAUGAUACAUUUCGAUAAAGACGUUGUGGUUCCAGAUGAUUCACGAUGGAAUGCUUUUCAAUCAUAACUUGUGUUCACUAGAGAUCUAGAAUCAGAGUUUGGACACUCCUUAUGAAGGCUCUCGAUCAAAUUUGUUCAAACUUACUCAAAUUAGUUUCGUACUAGAAUAUUAUACUGAAUUCAUAACUUUUAUUAUCGCAACAUUAAUCUGGAAUUUUCAUGUUUUGAUGGAUUUGAUGUUCUCCAAUGGAACUUUAAGGUUGAACAAUAUUUUGAUCAUUACCCGAGAAUGGGUUCUCUCACAUGUGAUGAAAUUUUUUUCUCCAACUUAUAGGUGUGCAAAUAAGCAAUACUUGUAUUUGAAAGAGGAUGGUAAUACUGACAUU